AAGGAUUUAAGUUAAAUUAAACUAUUAGCCUUCAAAGCUAAAAAUAAUAAAAAAAAUUAAGCCUUA
rnacentral:tRNA from 1 species